GACGGAGGGUGCUAGCGUUGUUCGGAAUUACUGGGCGUAAAGCGCGUGUAGGCGGCAUGGUAAGUCGAGUGUGAAAGCCCGGGGCUCAACCUCGGAAGUGCAUUCGAAACUGCCAUACUUGAGUACGGGAGAGGGAAGCGGAACUCCUGGUGUAGAGGUGAAAUUCGUAGAUAUCAGGAGGAACACCGGUGGCGAAGGCGGCUUCCUGGACCGAUACUGACGCUGAGACGCGAAAGCGUGGGGAGCAAACAGG
rnacentral:rRNA from 1 species